GGCGCUUGCUAAUACAUGCAAGUCGAGCGAACAGACGAGGAGCUUGCUCCUCUGACGUUAGCGGCGGACGGGUGAGUAACACGUGGAUAACCUACCUAUAAGACUGGGAUAACUUCGGGAAACCGGAGCUAAUACCGGAUAAUAUAUUGAACCGCAUGGUUCAAUAGUGAAAGACGGUUUUGCUGUCACUUAUAGAUGGAUCCGCGCCGCAUUAGCUAGUUGGUAAGGUAACGGCUUACCAAGGCAACGAUGCGUAGCCGACCUGAGAGGGUGAUCGGCCACACUGGAACUGAGACACGGUCCAGACUCCUACGGGAGGCAGCAGUAGGGAAUCUUCCGCAAUGGGCGAAAGCCUGACGGAGCAACGCCGCGUGAGUGAUGAAGGUCUUCGGAUCGUAAAACUCUGUUAUUAGGGAAGAACAAAUGUGUAAGUAACUAUGCACGUCUUGACGGUACCUAAUCAGAAAGCCACGGCUAACUACGUGCCAGCAGCCGCGGUAAUACGUAGGUGGCAAGCGUUAUCCGGAAUUAUUGGGCGUAAAGCGCGCGUAGGCGGUUUUUUAAGUCUGAUGUGAAAGCCCACGGCUCAACCGUGGAGGGUCAUUGGAAACUGGAAAACUUGAGUGCAGAAGAGGAAAGUGGAAUUCCAUGUGUAGCGGUGAAAUGCGCAGAGAUAUGGAGGAACACCAGUGGCGAAGGCGACUUUCUGGUCUGUAACUGACGCUGAUGUGCGAAAGCGUGGGGAUCAAACAGGAUUAGAUACCCUGGUAGUCCACGCCGUAAACGAUGAGUGCUAAGUGUUAGGGGGUUUCCGCCCCUUAUUGCUGCAGCUAACGCAUUAAGCACUCCGCCUGGGGAGUACAACCGCAAGGUUGAAACUCAAAGGAAUUGACGGGAACCCGCACAAGCGGUGGAGCAUGUGGUUAAAUUCGAAGCAACGCGAAGAACCUUACCAAAUCUUGACAUCCUCUGACCCCUCUAGAGAUAGAGUUUCCCCUUCGGGGGACAGAUGACAGGUGGUGCAGGUUGUCGUCAGCUCGUGUCGUGAANGUUGGGUUAAGUCCCGCACGAGCGCACCCUUAGCUUAGUUGCCAUCAUAAGUUGGGCACUCAAGUUGANUGCCGGUGNNAACCGGAGGAAGNUGGGAAGACGUCAAUCAUNUGCCCUUAGAUUGGGCACCACUGCUAAAUGGAAAUCAAGGGCACCAACCGCGAGUCAGCAAUCCAUAAAUUGUUCCA
rnacentral:rRNA from 1 species